rnacentral:rRNA from 1 species
GACGUGGGGGGCCAGCGUUGCUCGGAAUUACUGGGCGUAAAGGGUUCGUAGGCGGUGCGGCAAGUCGGAGGUGAAAUCUCUGGGCUUAACUCAGAGGCUGCUUUCGAAACUGCCGUGCUAGAGUGCGGGAGAGGCGAGUGGAAUUGCAGGUGUAGCGGUGAAAUGCGUAGAUAUCUGCAGGAACACCCGUGGCGAAGGCGGCUCGCUGGACCGCAACUGACGCUGAGGAACGAAAGCUAGGGGAGCAAACAGG